GACGAACGCNGGCGGCGUGCUUAACACAUGCAAGUCGAACGAAGAGCGAUGGAAGUUUGCUUCUAUCAAUCUUAGUGGCGAACGGGUGAGUAACGCGUAAUCAACCUGCCCUUCAGAGGGGGACAACAGUUGGAAACGACUGCUAAUACCGCAUACGAUCUAAUCUCGGCAUCGAGGAUAGAUGAAAGGUGGCCUCUACAUGUAAGCUAUCACUGAAGGAGGGGAUUGCGUCUGAUUAGCUAGUUGGAGGGGUAACGGCCCACCAAGGCGAUGAUCAGUAGCCGGUCUGAGAGGAUGAACGGCCACAUUGGGACUGAGACACGGCCCAGACUCCUACGGGAGGCAGCAGUGGGGAAUCUUCCGCAAUGGACGAAAGUCUGACGGAGCAACGCCGCGUGAGUGAUGACGGCCUUCGGGUUGUAAAGCUCUGUUAAUCGGGACGAAAGGCCUUCUUGCGAAUAGUGAGAAGGAUGA
rnacentral:rRNA from 1 species